rnacentral:rRNA from 1 species
GUAAUGGCGAAUGAACAGGGAUGAGCUCAGGCUGGAAACCGAUACAUCUGUGUCGGGCUGUAGCCUGCAGGCAUAGCGCUAUCGGCGGCUCGAGCGCAAGCCUCUUGGAAUAGAGCGUGUGCCCGGGUGAGAAUCCUGCAUUUCGCUCGAUGUCCGCUGUCCACAGUGCUUGUCCUGAGAGUCACGCUCCUCGGAAUUGGAGCGUAAAUCAGGUGGUAAGUUUCAUCCAAAGCUAAAUAGAAGCUCGAGACCAAUAGCAAACAAGUACCAUGAGGGAAAGAUGAAAAGGACUUUGGAAAGAGAGUUAAAAGUGUUUGAAAUUGCUGAGAGCGAAGCGAACGGAGCCACAUGUCGUGCUGAGAUUGCUGUGGGUCUUUGUGAGCCUUGAGCAUGUAAGCGCAAGCUGACUGCUUAUGUGUGAGCAUUUACCCGCAGUGUUUCUCAGCAUGUGAGUCAUUAGCCACAUUUGUUUGAGGAUGGCCUUCAGCUCACAUGGUACACUUGUUAGUGUUCCUCUGUGCGGUGUGGGACUCAGACAGGUGUGGCUUGUUGACCCAGUGGUUUUUUUCGACCCGUCUUGAAACACGGACCAAGA